GAAAUGCGAUAAGUAAUGUGAAUUGCAGAAUUAAGUGAAUCAUCGAAUCUUUGAACGCACAUUGCGCCAGCCAGUACUCUGGCGGGCAUGCCUGUUCAAGCGUCAUUUCAACCAUCAAGCCCCCGGCUUGUGUUGGGGACCUGCGGCUGCCCGCAGGCCCUGAAAAACAGUGGCGGGCUCGCUGUCACACCGAGCGUAGUAGCAUACAUUCUCGCUCAGGGCGUGCUGCGGGUUCCGGCCGUUAAACGACCUUCAUAACCCAAGGUUGACCUCGGAUCAGGUAGGAAUACCCGCUGAACUUAAGC
rnacentral:misc_RNA from 1 species